UUAGUGUCGUCUCUUACUUUGGUUUUCACUUUUACUGUACUUCCUACUGCUUCUAAACUAAAAUGCCCGUGUUAGCCUUAGCUGAUGCAUGGCCAGGAAGAAAUUAAAAUUCAUACUGCAGUCUUCUGAAGAGUAACAUGCCGUAGUAAUUGUCAUUUCUUAUGAAGUGCCACCUUUUACCAAGAGCCUCCACUUCAAAUGCAAAAGGUUGCUUUAAACACUCCAAGGACAUUAACAUAAUGAACAUGCUGCUUGUUUUGAAGACAAAGGUGUGGAACAAUUUAUUAGUUAAGGAUUCAGUUCAGUGUCUGCAAUCAAAAGGUGCCUCAUCUAGUCCAGAUUCUGGCCCUUGCUGAUAUUUUCUAGAUGAAAAUGUUCCAUUUCUUAAAGGCUGCUCAGACCUCUUGUCUUUGCAAAAUACACCCAAGAGCAGAAG